rnacentral:rRNA from 1 species
AUGGACGAGAAGACGCAGGAUAAAGUGGAGGCGGCGGUGCUGGAGAUCCUGCGGGGCUCCGACAUGGAGUCCCUGACGGAGUACAAGGUCCGCACCGCCGCCGCCGACCGCCUCGGCAUCGACCUCGACCUCCCCCUCCACAAGCGCUUCGUGCGACGCCUCGUGGAGGACUACCUCAAGUCCCUCGCCGAAGAAGAAGACCAGAAGCAGAAGGGCGGCUCCCGCAAGGAGGGGAAAAAGAAACAGCAGCGUCAGGAGGAGGAAGAGCAGGAAGAGGACGAGGAGAAGGAGGGGGAAGAAGAGGAGGAGGAGGAGGAGGACAAGGGAGGUGAAGGAAAGAAAGAGUUCGACGAUAAUGGAGACCUCAUCCUCUGCCGCCUGUCGAAGAACAGGAGGGUGACGCUGCAGGAGUUUAAGGGCAAAACGCUGGUGUCGAUCCGCGAGUACUACAUCAAGGACGGCAAGGAAAUGCCCACCUCCAAAGGGAUGAGUAUGACGGUCGAGCAGUGGGAGACAUUCAGCAAAUCAGUACCUGCAAUAGAAGACGCCAUCAAAACACUUGGAGAAUCAGAUUGA